rnacentral:lncRNA from 1 species
CCGUUCUCCUCCAUUGUUGUCCAACAUGUCAAAGCAAUUGCAAACAUUCGGGCUGCCUUUCAUUUAUCAGAUGAGUCCCGAGAGCGAGAGCUGAAUCGGUUUUACUUUUUCACUCGUCCACUCUUUCGCUUGAUCUAUGGAUUCGAUUUCGCGGUUUGCUGAGCACCGUCAGCGAAAAGAUAACGCUCCGAUAAGUAGAGUCCCGUUCGGUACUCAUCCUCGUCCACAUCCACCGCUCUCAGUGCGAUAAGUAAACCAUUUGUGUAAUAUGUCAACUUGUUUCUGGCGGCUUCUGUGGCCAUUCAAUGGCUGAGCUCUGCGGGUCAUACAGUUGUCUUCGCCUGGCUCUGGCCCUUGAACAAGUAAGGAACCGCCUUCACAAUGCACAUGCAAAGCGAUCAGGCAGG